rnacentral:lncRNA from 1 species
CACGGUGUUUUCAAAAUUUAAAGCACCAGUGUAUCCCACGGUGCAUCUUUACAUUUUCAUAUAUAUCUAUCUAUCUAUCUGGUUGCCAUAUUAUCUUCGGGUAACCGACCAUAGAUCUAUCUACAUAUACAUAUACAUCUAUGGUCUAUCUAUCUAUAUAUAUAUAUAUUAUAUAUUAUAUGAAUCUAUCAUAUUAUGAAUAAAAGCUGUGGCCAGAUAUCGCCAAACCAUAUAUGUAUUUUGUUUUAAUGGCACCAUCUGAGAUAAUGGAAUUUAGGUUAAUAGACUUAAAUUCGGUUAUCGCCGGGGCCACUCACGGAUUGUGUUUCAUGUUUUAGAUUUACCCAACAUGAGUGACGUUUUAUUCUGUGACGUCAUUUAGUCCUUUUUAGAAUUUCAUCGCAGCAAGCAAGCUGUUUAAAUUUCGUAAGCGGUAAACUUGAAAACCCGCCCUCCCACUCCUUUUUAUUGUACAAGAUACUGCUCUUUUGUAUUUAUUUUUCAGGUUUGUGUCGGUGACAGUGGUGGUACAGAUUUGACUGAUGAUGUUAACUUGUUUGCUGUUGAGAAAAGUGACUUUUAUAUGAACUUUGAGCAUCAUUAAUAUAUUCCCGUUAAUGGCAGAAUUCGCUGCAUAGAAUCUUAAUGUUAACUAUGAAAUUUUAGGUUUUUGGAUAAUACAGACUACACUUGUGUAUCCCACGGUGUUUUCUAAAUUUAAAGCACCAGUGUAUCCCACGGUGCAUCUUUACAUUUUCAUAUAUAUCUAUCUAUCUAUCUGGUUGCCAUAUUAUCUUCGGGUAACCGACCAUAGAUCUUUCUACAUAUACAUAUACAUCUAUGGUCUAUCUAUCUAUAUAUAUAUAUAUUAUAUAUUAUAUGAAUCUAUCAUAUUAUGAAUAAAAGCUGUGGCCAGAUAUCGCCAAUCCAUAUAUGUAUUUUGUUUUAAUGGCACCAUCUGAGAUAAUCGAUGAGUAUCUUGGACAAUUGUCUUUCUACCGGUGCCGUGUAUUUCUUUGAGGCCAAUUAUCUUGGAGCAAUUCUUCGUGUACACAAAAUGGAACAAGAUCUUUUUCUAUCAGAGAAAGAGCAAAAACCUGCUUUUUGACAGCAAUAAAACAUUACGAGCAAGAGAAAAUCUUCAAGAUAAAAUCGUUCUUAAACCAAGUUUAUCUUUUUCUUGCGUUAUUUGUUCUCGGUGUUGAUGUUAAACAAAUUGAAUACAUGUAUGUGAACACUGUUUCAAAUGAAGACAUCAGUUUGGCAGAGUUUUAUUUAAACUUGUUUGAAAACAGUUGUUGGGAUGGAUCUACUAACUGGUCAAGGAUGCUGUUUUACAUUGCUCGGUCAGAACAGCAUAAAAAAAGACAAAAUCUACAGCGAUCUUGAGAUUAUCUCCACGAUGCUCUAACAUGCGCAACCAAAGGAGACUAUCUAAAACAGAGAGAGUUCAUACAAUGUAAAAUCACUCUUGCUGAAAAGAGCAUAUUUGAGAAACAAAGACUUCGUGCAAUUACACAACGUGAACAAACUGUGAAUGACAUAUUAGCUAAUCUCGAGGAAAGUUCAAGCGAUUCUUGUUAUAGUUUUAUUCGAUUUUUCAUUGUAACCGUUUAACAAUUUUAAUUUAUUCUAUAAUAAUUCAGACUUGUAUGACAAAAAUUUUGCUUCUCUGUUUAUACGUAGUUUGUAACAAAUUCGUGUUUAUAAUGUGACUAACAACGAGUACUUUAAUAGAUCAAUGCAAUUAGUACGAAAAGCAGUUAAAAAAUGGUGAACAUUUUGUUGGUUUUAGCAGAUCGGUGUAGUUAUUUUGGUUAUAUUGGACAUAAUAUAAGUAGUUAUAAAAGGUACCAGACUUAUACUUUGAUACGCCAGACACGCGUUGCGUCUAUAUAAGACCCAUCAGUGACGCUCAGAUCAAAAUAAUUUAAAAGCCGAAGAAAUAUAAAGUUGAAUAGCAUUGAGGACACAAAAUUCGAAAAAGUUGUGCCAAAAACCAGUUGAAAAUAUGGUUUAUGUGGGGUUACGGAGACCAUUGCAGUUUUUUUGGCUUAGUUGGACGCAUUCUAUAACCAACUUAAAGUAUGAUAAUGUUGUGCGGGCGGGA